GGGCCCAUGGCGCAGUUGGUAGCGCGCCUCGUUCGCAUCGAGGAGGUCGGGGGUUCGAAUCCCCCUGGGUCCACCU
rnacentral:tRNA from 1 species